rnacentral:rRNA from 1 species
GGAUUAGAUACCCUGGUAGUCCACGCCGUAAACGAUGUCUACUAGCAGCUCGCCUCGUUUAGAGGGGUUUUGCGCAGCUAACGCGUUAAGUAGACCGCCUGGGGAGUACGGCCGCAAGGUUAAAACUCAAAUGAAUUGACGGGGGCCCGCACAAGCGGUGGAGCAUGUGGUUUAAUUCGAUGCAACGCGAAGAACCUUACCAUCCCUUGACAUCCAGAGAACUUACUAGAGAUAGUUUGGUGCCUUCGGGAACUCUGAGACAGGUGCUGCAUGGCUGUCGUCAGCUCGUGCCG